AUUGAACGCUGGCGGCAGGCCUAACACAUGCAAGUCGAACGGUAACAGGAAGCAGCUUGCUGCUUCGCUGACGAGUGGCGGACGGGUGAGUAAUGUCUGGGAAGCUGCCUGAUGGAGGGGGAUAACUACUGGAAACGGUAGCUAAUACCGCAUAAUGUCGCAAGACCAAAGAGGGGGACCUUCGGGCCUCUUGCCAUCGGAUGUGCCCAGAUGGGAUUAGCUUGUUGGUGGGGUAACGGCUCACCAAGGCGACGAUCCCUAGCUGGUCUGAGAGGAUGACCAGCCACACUGGAACUGAGGCACGGUGCAGACUCCUACGGGGGGCAGCAGGGGGGAAUAUUGGACAAUGGGGGGAAGCCUGAUGCAGCCAUGCCGCGGGGAUGAAGAAGGCCUUUGGGUUGGAAAGUACUUUCAGCGGGGAGGAAGGGAGUAAAGUUAAUACCUUUGCUCAUUGACGUUACCCGCAGAAGAAGCACCGGCUAACUCCGUG
rnacentral:rRNA from 1 species